ACCAUUCACUAUUUACCAUUCGUUACUUCAUUCGCACCAAACGCACAGACUAGCGGGCUCAACCUCGCUCUCUGUUAAAAAUAUCUGAUCAGCUUACGGAGACAAUCGUUUCUUACCUCGUCACCUGAAGGGAAGACGUAAUGGCAGAACAAGAAGAACAAGACCUGCAAGAGGAAAAUAACCCCCCGCCGCUCACUGAUAUUUUCAAGCAGUUUGACAAGGAAGGUAACGGCUACAUCACCAGGGAUGAAAUCCGCCAGGGCAUGUCUGAGAAUGGCCAAGAGCUGGGCGACGAAGAGCUGAAUGAGAUGCUGAAGGAAAUAGGUAUCGAUGAAGAUGGGAAGGUUAGACUUAAAGACUUUAUACUCAUAUCUAUAUCUAAUCUGAAACAAACAUGUUUCCUUAUGUGUUACGUGAUGAUUCCUGAGCAACUAUGUAGCUAA